AUACGUAGGUGACAAGCGUUAUCCGGAUUUACUGGGCGUAAAGGGCGUGUAGGCGGUCUUGCAAGUCAGAAGUGAAAUUCCUGAGCUCAACUCGGGCGCUGCUUCUGAAACUGCAGGACUUGAGUGCUGGAGGGGAUAGCGGAAUUCCUAGUGGAGCGGUAAAAUGCGCAGAUAUUAGGAAGAACACCGGUGGCGAAGGCGGCUAUCUGGACAGUAACUGACGCUGAGGCGCGAAAGCGUGGGGAGAAAACAGGAUUAGAUACCCUGGUAGUCCACGCCGUAAACGUUGAAUACUAGGUGUAGGGGGUAUCGACUCCCUCUGUGCCGCAGUUAACACAAUAAGUAUUCCGCCUGGGGAGUACGGCCGCAAGGUUGAAACUCAAAGGAAUUGACGGGG
rnacentral:rRNA from 1 species